rnacentral:rRNA from 1 species
GACGAACGCUGGCGGCGUGCUUAACACAUGCAAGUCGAACGGAAAGGCCCUGCUUUUGUGGGGUGCUCGAGUGGCGAACGGGUGAGUAACACGUGAGUAACCUGCCCUUGACUUUGGGAUAACUUCAGGAAACUGGGGCUAAUACCGGAUAGGAGCUCCUGCUGCAUGGUGGUGGUUGGAAAGUUUCGGCGGUUGGGGAUGGACUGGCGGCUUAUCAGCUUGUUGGUGGGGUAGUGGCUUACCAAGGCUUUGACGGGUAGCCGGCCUGAGAGGGUGACCGGCCACAUUGGGACUGAGGUACGGCCCAGACUCCUACGGGAGGCAGCAGUGGGGAAUAUUGCACAAUGGGCGGAAGCCUGAUGCAGCAACGCCGCGUGCGGGAUGACGGCCUUCGGGUUGUAAACCGCUUUCGACUGUGACGAAGCGUGAGUGACGGUAAUGGGUAAAGAAGCACCGGCUAACUACGUG